rnacentral:lncRNA from 1 species
AGCCAAAAACCUGAUAACUUUUACUAAAUGGACUUUUGCAUUCCCAAAAGGAAUCACCAAGUGUGGAAGAUGAAGACAAGUGUGAAAAGUCAACAAUCAACUCUUUUCCGGUCUGCCGAAGGUCGACUAAACGUUCUUCGGAUUGCUUUGGAAGCUCUAAUGGAGAUGGAUCAGCAUGUUCUGUCAAGGACAAAACCUUAUUCUCUUCCCUGAGCUGAAGCUUCUCCAAUUCAAGAAUCUGUUCCAACACAAAACCAGCUUCUCUUUGCACCUAAAAAUCAUCGGUACAUCAACAUCAGCAUACAGAGAGAUCUAUUCAUCUUAAAUAUAUACAAAAACAAGCAUCAAACCUUAGGUUUAGCCAUAGCAAAAGACUUCUCUAACGAAACAUCAUUAUCCAUAACUCGAAAUCCCCACAUAACCGCGAAAUCUUUAGCAGAAGGACACCCCGUGUAACACCUCACAUCGUGUCUAACAUGCUUAGAGGAGACAACACCAUGGAUCUUGUCAUUACAUCCUGUACAAAGAAACAUCUUGUGAUCCAAACAUCGGACGACACAAGGCUGAUUCUUACAGAAACCGCAUAAAAGUGUGCGUAAAUGUCUCCCUGAGAGUGCAUUAGCUGAAUGAACCUUUGCAUCACAUGUUAGACACAGACUCGCUGCAUCUGCUAUACAAUAAACCACCGCUCUAUACGCUUUGCAAACCUCACAUAAUCGUUCCAUCUCUCAACAAUUAUUAUUUUUUUACACAAAAUCCUUUGGAUUCUUGAAAAUAUCCAUAACUUAUGAGAAGAUUCGUCCCUGUUUCAUCAAAACAUCAGAUUUAAUGUAAAACGUUAGGCAAAGAUCACAGAUCGAACAUAGUUCAUAGGCCAAACCAAACUUACCGGUAAGACGAGAAGCGUAGAGUUAUGUGAGAGAUUCGUGACACAGCUUUCUCUGUUUUAGAAACUUCCUAUCUGAUAAAAAUCCGUGUGGUUCGGUUUUUUAUUAUUUAAUUUGUUAUGAUGACGUGGAUAAGACACGUAGGUUUACUGUGGGACCUACGAAUUGGUGAUUACGUUAUCCCUAUGCACGUGAGAGAUAUGGGGAAGCCACGGACGUAUGUUCCACUGUGACAGCGUCGACCCAUUAUCAAUCUCUAAGCUUACCUUUUCCUAACCAAUAACUAGAUGCCACGUGUCAACCCGACCAAACAGGAUAUUUAUUCAUUACCGGAUCAGCAAUGUUUGGUACUUUAUUACCGGAUCAGCCGUUGACACCGUCAAGUGUUCGUCAGUUCCUAAGGAUUUUUAAAAAUGGAUACACCAAAUCUGAAUUACUUUAGAUUUGGGAAAAUCGCAUAAAAAAUCUUGAGAGUGUCACUUCCUAUCACUUUAAACCUUGAAGUUUUUUUACUAACAUUUUUAACCUUCAAAAUAACAUUUUUAUCAUAAAAAACCUCCAAAGAAGAAAAAUGACCGGCUGAACAGGUUAAAAACAGUUUUUUUUUUCAAAAAAUAAUUAUUUAAUUAAUAAAUAAACAAAAAAAUAAUAAAAAUCAAAAAAAUUAACAAAAAACUCAUAAAUUAAAAAAAGUGAGAAAAAUAAAUAAAAUAGCUAGACAAUGUAAGCACUAUGUAUCAUGCUGCAUCAAAAGUAUGAUCAUUGAGCCAAAAACCUGAUAACUUUUACUAAAUGGACUUUUGCAUUCCCAAAAGGAAUCACCAAGUGUGGAAGAUGAAGACAAGUGUGAAAAGUCAACAAUCAACUCUUUUCCGGUCUGCCGAAGGUCGACUAAACGUUCUUCGGAUUGCUUUGGAAGCUCUAAUGGAGAUGGAUCAGCAUGUUCUGUCAAGGACAAAACCUUAUUCUCUUCCCUGAGCUGAAGCUUCUCCAAUUCAAGAAUCUGUUCCAACACAAAACCAGCUUCUC